GAAAGGGGCAUCUCACCGCAAAGAGAGAAAAAAAGAGGCGAGGAAAAAAGAAGAAAAAAUGGGCAUGACAAUGUUUUGGUUUCGAUUUUUAUUUUGAUCGUCUGCCCCUCUCUCUCUCUCGCUUUCUCUCUCUUUGAUUCUUCUUUGAGUACGGGAAACAAUUCGGGUUCUGCAAAUUUUGUUGUUGUUGUUGUUCUUCUUCUUCUUCUUGUGAUUGUUGUUUGAGUUUCUGGUUUGAUUUUGGUCCUUUAAUGUGGUGCUGAAAGAAAAGGGUGUGAUUGAAUAGACAUAACAAAUUGCAGAAGGAUCUUCGUCUUGUUUCUUCGUCGAAUUUGCACCCAUUCCGUGGUGUGAAUGGGUAAUUCUUUUGGGUGUUCGGCUUCUGGGGAGAGAUUGGUGUCGGCGGCAAGAGAUGGGGAUUUGGUGGAGGCUAAAAUGCUUUUAGAUUGCAAUCCAUGUCUUGCGAAAUACUCUACUUUUGGUGGCCUUAAUUCCCCUCUCCAUUUUGCGGCUGCUAAGGGCCACAACGAGAUUGUGUCCUUGUUGCUUGAAAAUGGAGCUGAUGUGAAUUCCAGGAAUUACUGUGGGCAGACAGCAGUGAUGCAAGCUUGUAGAUAUGGACACUGGGAAGUUGUGCAAACUCUUCUAAUCUUCAGAUGCAAUGUAAUGAGAGCAGAUUAUCUUAGCGGUCGGUCUGCUCUCCAUUUUGCUGCUGUAAAUGGGCAUGUGAGAUGUCUAAGACUUAUCGUGGCUGACUUUGUUCCGAGCGUUCCCUAUGAGGCUAUCGAUAGCCAGACAGAUCCUAGCAAAAGUGAUGGUGCGAAUGUGAAAAACAGAUGUGAACAAGGUGCUUUGUCCAAGUUUAUAAAUAAGGCCGCUGAUGGUGGCAUUACUGCUCUUCACAUGGCAGCACUAAAUGGAUAUUAUGAUUGUGUUCAUCUUCUUCUCGAUCUUCAUGCUAAUGUUUCUGCAGUAACAUUUCACUACGGGACCUCGAUGGAUUUGAUAGGAGCUGGAAGCACUCCAUUGCAUUAUGCAGCUUGUGGGGGUAACUUGAAGUGCUGUCAGAUUCUCCUUGCAAGAGGUGCUUCUCGGACGACUUUGAAUUGCAACGGGUGGCUUCCUUUAGAUGUUGCCAGAAUGUGGGGACGCCACUGGCUCGAACCUGUGGUAGCUCCCAAUUCGGUCUCUAUAAUACCGGGAUUUCCCACUUCCAACUACCUGUCCUUGCCUCUACUGAGUGCAUUAAACAUUGCCAGGGAUUGCGGUUUUAAGUCUAUGGGAGCGACCUCCGACGACGGGGAUACUUGUGCUGUCUGUUUAGAGAGAGUAUGUUCUGUGGCAGCAGAAGGAUGUGGACAUGAGCUUUGUGUAAGAUGUGCACUCUAUCUUUGUUCGACUAGCAAUAUCCAAUCACAAACGAUCGGUUCAUCAGGCUCGAUUCCAUGCCCCCUUUGCAGACAUACAAUUAUAUCUUUCGUAAAGUUGUCUCGUGCCACAGCAAAGGAAAAACAGCUUCAUCUGUCUCUUAGCAUAUGCAAUCCAUGCAUUCUUCACACCUGUGAUGCUGAAGAUCAGGCUUCUACUUGUACGCCAGAGAUCCGAAAGAAUCGUGUAGCAUCGGUUUCUUCAGAUGUAUUUUGCCCAGUAACUUGUAGCCCAUUCCCUUCUGCGGCCAUUCCUCUGUGUACAUGCAAUGACGGUCCAUGCCCAACCUUCGAGCCCCGAGACGUUGGAACAGAAGCUGAAUCGCCCCGUCACUUGCAAACAACCCCAAUAGACCAGGACAAAUUGGGAGAUCCAAGACAAGAAAGAACUAGCUGUUCAAGCAUAUUUUGGGGCAGAAGAAGCGGUAGCAGGGAGAAUCAAUGCAAUUCAGAGAUAAACGCUUGAGACAUGAGACAUGCCCCGGUUGGUUUCGAGUCAGUCAUCUCGACAACGAGACUUGAGAGAAUUUAUAGUAACAGCAAUACAUUCUGAAAGUUGCAGUGGAUAUGUUGUGGAUACAAUGUUUGGCUUGACAGGUUCGAUUUUCUCUUCGUUGUGUUUGCAUUCCCAAUUUUCGUGAUGGCUUUAGGAGGCCUGGUUGGUGUGAAUAAUUUGUUUUGGCGCAGCAGCAGUUUUGAGCAUGUUAUGGUUUCAAGUCAUUGUUGCUCUGCCUGUACAAAUAGGUAGAGAGGGAUUAAAAGGUUGUAAAAUUUGGCCUGCUGGUUGGGAUUUUUUACAACACAGUACUCUUCCAACACAGUACUCUUGUGAAUCCAAUCAGACAUCAUCAUCAUCAUCAUCCUCCACCUGUUCCAAAGUGUUAGAUGUCAUCUCUGUAGGGGCCCCCCAUCCCCCUCGCAUGAUCCUUGUCAAAUACUAGUCAAAUUGUCAAUCAUGAGGAGGGCUUGUUUUGCAUUUGGAUGACCUUACAUGUUCAAACAAAAUAUUAGUAUUGCUCAUGAUCAAUAAUUUUAAUUUGACUUUGGGAUCUUAUCCUAA